rnacentral:rRNA from 1 species
AUCUUAAAAAACUGAAAAGUGGCGGACGGGUGAGUAACACGUGAGAACCUACCUUUAAAAAAGGGAAAACGAUUGGAAACGAUUGCUAAUACCUUAUAUGCCUUUAUAAAAUAAAAAUUAAGGUGAAAAGUUUAUUCUGUUUAGAGAAGGGCUCGCGGCUGAUUAGCUAGUUGGUAAGGUAAUGGCUUACCAAGGCGACGAUCAGUAACUGAUUUGAGAGGAUGAUCAGUCACACUGGAACUGAGACACGGUCCAGACUCCUACGGGGGGCAGCAGUGGGGAAUUUUCUGCAAUGGGCGAAAGCCUGACAGAGCAAUACCGCGUGAGGGAUGACAGCCCUAUGGGUUGUAAACCUCUUUUUUCAGGGAGGAAGUUCUGACGUUACCUGAAGAAUAAGCAUCGGCUAACUCCGUGCCAGCAGCCGCGGUAAGACGGAGGAUGCAAGUGUUAUCCGGAAUCACUGGGCGUAAAGCGUCUGUAGGUGUUUUAAUAAGUCUGUUGUUAAAGCUUGAGGCUUAACCUCAAAAAAGCAAUAGAAACUAUUAUGAAUUGAGUGUGGUAGGGGUAGAGGGAAUUUCCAGUGGAGCGGUGAAAUGCAUAGAUAUUGGAAAGAUCACCAAUGGCGAAGGCACUCUACUGGGCCAUUACUUACACUGAGAGACGAAAGCUAGGGGAGCAAAUGGGAUUAGAUACCCCAGUAGUCCUAGCCGUAAACGAUGGAUACUAGAUGUCGCAUGUAUGAUCCAUGCGGUAUUAUAGCU